UCUUUGAUGGCAAAUAAAUAGGAGUGGUGCGGUGACUUAAAGGUGGAGCUCUCACCUCACAAUCAGGAGGCUGUGAGUUCGAUACUAGGUAGAGGCAGAUAUUUCUCUCUCUGGGCACAAUGAG